GAUAAACAUACAUAGAAUGGCAGUGGAGUUUUGGUGAGGAUUGCAUAAGCAGGGUGUUUUAAAGCUGGACCAGCGUUAUCAAGAACAGAAAAAUCCACAGACAUGUGGUGUCUAAUCUUAUCAUGUGCCUUACUGGCAACAUAGCAAGCAUUUCUAGGGACCUGGCAGUGUUCAUUCUUGAAAGAAAAAUAUAAAUACAAUGUAAAAAGAUAUCCUGUCACCCUAAAAAUUGGGUAAUGAUAAUUGAGAAAAAGGAAUGUGAACUUGAGGUGUAAGAUGUCCCAGAAGAACUUAGAGACAUUGUGGAAGUUCAAGGCUAAGAGGAUGACUCUCAGGGUAAAGUUCAGUAAUGCAAAGGAAUGUGAAUCGUUUUAGGAUAUAAUGGCAAGAACAUGGCAGAUAUGUCAAACAGAACAUAAGGCUGGACAGUAAUGGAAUGGUUUACCUCCAAUAUGACAAGCAUUGGAGACAGAAAGUGUCGGUCAGAACAAGAGAAGUUCUUUGUCCAGGAGAGGGAAGUGAAGCCCUCUACAGCAUUCACCUGCAGAGAGAUCGCUCAGGCUGCACUCAGCAGAAGGCUUGUGUGAAUAGCUUUUGUCUGAAAAGACCUUGGGGAAACAGCUCUGAACGCAGAAUAAAGGUACAAACAAAGCCAGGUCGGGCAGACAAAUGAGACAGACAGACAGACAAAUGAGAGGCAGACACACUAAACGUGGGAUGAGUAGUCGUUAGCAAGGAUGCUUGAACCAGAAGUGUUCUAGAUUUUGAAAUUUUUCAGAUCUUGGAGUGUUUACAUGCAGCGAAUGAGUACUGUGGGGAUGAGAGCCCUGACAACAACGAAUCUGGUGUUUUUAGCUGCCUCGUGCCCAUAGUCUGACUGUGAAUUUAGACAGCAUUCAGGUUUUCUUGCACUAUGGUUAAGCCCGUCACAUGAGGUCAGUCGUGGGAUUUUCCACCUGUGGCACCACAUCAACGUUUAGAAAGUCUUGUAUUCUGGAUCUUUUCAGAUAUUUGAUCUUUGCACUGGGGCUGCUCAGCCUGUAUCCACAUACAUACUAAUUUCACCAACCUAAAGUGACAAACAAAAUGACGUAUGCUUCUAUAGGUGCUCUAUUUGUAGAGGCUACAUAUAGUGUAGGCUGGGGUGGGUGUUCUUAAGGCUGUGACAUUAACAAGAUCAAAAAGAAAGGAUUAGAGAAAAGGAAGCACAGGAGGUCUUAGAGUCUUGGGACUUGGAAUCGCUUGCAGGGAUCUGUAGGCAAAGAGACCUGGAAGGGGGGGGGGGUCAUUAAGUACACAGCACAGGUAGUAGAGCUUCAUGGAGUCAUUUAUUAGCGUUGAGCCACAGAGCUGUCUACAGUGCAAGGCCACUGAGAGCUUAAAUCCAGAGAGAACAGGACACUAAGUUUUCUAACCAGGAGAGGUUUAUGUUUAUACCUGAAGGGAUCAUUUAUUAAAGCAGACUCUAAAAGGAAGGCUAGAAAGAAAGACUAUGCUCUGGCAGUCAGAAGAACUAUAAGCCAGUGAGCAACUUUGCCUGACUGUCACCCUCUAUUUCAAUGAGAAGAAUGUUCUCUAUGAAAUGGGAGAUUUGGCUGCGGGUGGUUUUUCUGGGAAAGGUAUGAUGACCACCAUUCUUGGCUAAGGAAGUCGAUGAUGUCAAUAGGAAGCUAUGUGAGGAAAAGCCCACACUGGAACUCAUCACAGGGCUUAGGGUAGAGAUCUGUGGGUGCUGUCUAAGCCUGGGCACCUGGAAUAGUAUAUAUGUGUACUAUUGAGUAGACAUGAUAUGGGCUCGUCAAAUCAUGGAACCUUAGGCAUUUUUUAAGUAAAUAGAAAUAAAGCAGUACAUUUAGGAAAUUGCCUUAAUUUGAGAAGUGCUUUACAGAAAUACAGAUUUGCUUACUGCAAACUAUCAGAAUAAAACAGCUCUCACUUAAAAGAGAAUACAAGAUAGUUUAUUUUUCACCAGAUGAGAAUGUCCAUGGUCUAGGAACAACAUACAAAAUGAUACAUAAUCAGUUAUAUGACAUGAACAAUUAUUGAAAACACAUAUAACACAAUUGCACUAAACUGGUCUGCUUUCUUAGCGGGAACACAGACAAUUUACAUCUUCGUGUUUUUGAGAUGGAAGAGGACACCACCGAAAUUCAAGGAUUUUUGUUUUGUUUUGUUGUUGUUGUUGUUGUUGUUUGGUUUGGUUUUGGAGACAAAGUCUCACUAUGUAGCCCUGGUUGGUCUCAAACUUCCUACAUAGACUAGGCUAGUCUUGAACUCACAGAGAUCCACCUCCAAAAUGCUGGGAUUAAAUGUGUGUGCCACCAUGCCUGACUCCUUAAAACAACUAAGAUGUAACCAGUCACUCAGUCUUGUAGAAUCUUUAACAUACACAUGUCUUUUUUGCCCUUGGAGUCUUCUGUUCCUAAGACAUCAUGGCUUGUUUUAGAAUUACAGAUAGUCUCUGCAUUCAUGUGGUCUAAACAGGAUGUACACAGGAAAUAAUCCCACAAGUAAUUGCCUCCAUUGUGAGAAAUCAGAUGAAGAAAAUAAGACAGUAGGGGAAGAAAGAGAAGAACAUCGGAAAGAGAUGGGGGCAGCGGGGAGGAGAGCAGGAGAGAGAAGAAAAGAAAAUUGAUAUGAAAACAAAUCUUUAUGAAAAGAAACAUCGUAGCCUGGCAUGCUGGUCCAAACCUGUGACCCUAGCACUCAGAAGACAGAGGCAGAAAAUGAUGUUUUUAUGGCCAGCAUGGCUCUGUUUCCUUAUCAAUCAAUUUUAAUGCCACUACUCUUUCUGUAGAUUUCGGGUUUGCUAGAUAGCGUGUAAACUUUUUAAAAAGAAAUACUUCAGUACAGAUUUAUUAUUUACAGCACCCUAUCUUCUUGAAAGAAGAUAAUCACCAGGCAGGGAAUCCAGGACAAAGAGCUGAAGGAUGUUCACUAGACUCAGGAGGGAAACCAUCACUCCAUUGUAAGGCGGCCUUUGAAGCAUUUCAACCUAGCCGAGAGUCCCCACAUCUGCAAAACCGACAAUGCUGCUUCCUCGGCUUGAGCCAACAUUUUCGUUAUGCUCUCUGUAGGCUGCCUACAGAAGUGUUUCCCUGGGAGUCAUACAGGGGCCAGUACGAGUGUGGUCAAAGGGACCAGGCUACAUCUUGAGCUGGCAGCAGAACUUGGCAGCAUCAUCCAUAGGAUUCUGAUUUUAUGGACAUGAGGAGUACAAGGGUUGGAAGAAGGUAUUUAGAGAAGCCAGAUUCUGUUUUCCCAGGCGUGGUUGCUCCCAUUUGGCUCCAGAAUAAAUUCUUAAUCCCUUCAAGACAGCAUAGUGUCGACUGGUCCUGCCAACAAUACUGGCUCUUUUAGACAGCAUGAAGUACCACCUUCUGGUACUGAAACUCACCUCAAAAGAAGUCUGAGAAAGUCUGUGUGUAACCUGCCAUCAAAGCAUACAAAUGGGUAAAAAUUGUCUGGGAAUUAUUGAUGGACAAUAUGGGUCAAUCUCAGAGACACCGUGCAGAGUGAAAGAGGGGAGACACGCAAGAUCUUGGGUGAAAGGCUUCAAUAGAGAUCAGUAGAAACAAACCUGUCAGAGAACCAGAGAGGGGAGUCAGUGGUUGCCUAGGGUAGCAGGCUCUGGGGUACUGGCUGCAAAUAGGCAAGAAAGGCUUUUGUGUUGCAAUGGAAAUAUCAAAGCUCAUGAAAUUAUGUAUUAAAAUAGGCUAAUUUUAUGUGUCUAAAGCAUGGUUUAGUAAAACUUAAAUAAAUUUUACUCUUUUACUAAAUUGCCUUAAAGAAAUGUUGCCUUUAAAAUUUUCACUUAAACCCAGAUUGUCUAUUUUAAUAAAGAAGAAUUACUUUAUGAAAGAUAAUUUAUAAUUAGAGGAUUUCAAUGGUAGGUCUGAGAACAAUUUAGACUAAGAGAUCAAGUGAGAAAUCAAGACCAAAUUCUAAUGGCACACAAAUAGCUCUAACUUUCUGCUGCCCCCUAGCGGCAGCAACUCAAAAUUUCAGCACAUUCGUUUAUUUCACAAGUGACCAGCUUUAGGAGACUGCUUUUUGCAGACCGAAGGCCAUAUGUUGGCAAGGCUUUGUGGUUCAAUGAACGGACUCUUCUGCAUGCCAUGCCCUAGUCAGAGAGUAGGAGAUGGUGUUGUACAAGACAGACCAAGUCAUUGCCUUCAUCAUGUUCACCUCCUAGUCUCAGACAGUCAAAAGUAAACAGCCAGAUUAGCAAAAGCAUUGCCCCUUAUAGUAAGAAAUUAAUGAACUAAACAAUUGAUAGCUUGCUUGAGGUUAUAGAAGUUAAUGAAAAAAUAAAAAGGCCAGAUAAGGCAAGAUAGGUACAACAUCAGAAGAUCAUUCCAGAUAAAGUUGGCAAGUUGAACAUCCGUGAGCUGGAAUGGAAAUGCUGAGUGGGGGGGACACAUGACAAGCAGAGUUGGGAGGAGUAUGAGAGUGAUCGUUGUAGGAACUCCAGGAUUCUGGUAAGGAGUCUGUUAUAAUUCAGGAGAAAGUGAUUGAAGAAGUCACUGUCUCAGUUUAUGCUCUAAAAUAUCUAAAAUAAACUUCCUGGGGCCGGUGACAUGGCUCCCUGAUAGGUAAGGCACUUUACCUCACUUCCUGAAUUUGAUCCCUCAGGACACAGGAUGGGAAGAGAGAGCUGACUCCCACAAAUUGUCCUCUGACCUCCACAUGUGUGCUCUGGCAAUGCAUGCCUGCUCAUAGCCUCUCUCUCUCUCUCUCUCUCUCUCUCUCUCUCUCUCUCUCUCUCUCACACACACACACACACAUGUAAAAUCUAAUAAAAAGCCAAACAUUCAGUGAAAGAAUCUACAUUUUAUUUUCUCAAACAUCUGUGAAGUUACUCAGAUCCUAAAUCUAGGAAGGCUUUGUGUUUUACAAUGGAUCUUCUGUCUACAUAGAAGCACAGCAAAACAAACACAAUAAAGUAUUUAUAGCUUUGUUUGUUCAGUUAAAUCAGCUGAAAGCAUUGUUGA